rnacentral:tRNA from 1 species
GGCUGUGUAGCUCAAUUAGGCAGAGCACCCGACUCAUAAUCGGGCGGUCGAUGGUUCAAAUCCAUCCACAGCCAC